GUGAAUCAUCGAAUUUUUGAACGCAAAUUGCGCCUUUUUCGGAAAGCAUGUCUGUUUGAGGGCACCAUUUAACAAAUAAUGUGCAGCGGUUUUUGUUGCAUACGUUGAUGAGCUUUCCAAGAAUUUUAAAUUUUUGGUGGCGCAUAAUGAACAGCGUGAAUGUUUUUUUCAGUCUGAGCGUAGUAAAGUCUUUGCUUGUGUUGUGAUAAAACAUAAUCGCGCAUUGGGUGUGG
rnacentral:misc_RNA from 1 species